rnacentral:rRNA from 1 species
UAGUCAUAUGCUUGUCUCAAAGACUAAGCCAUGCAUGUCUAAGUAUAAAUGGUAUACAGUGAAACUGCGAAUGGCUCAUUAAAACAGUUAUAGUUUAUUUGGUAAUCGAAUUUACAUGGAUAACCGUGGUAAUUCUAGAGCUAAUACAUGCUGUAAGCCCGACUUUUCGGAAGGGCCGUAUUUAUUAGGUAACAGACCAAUGCCCCCCCGGGCUUUGUGGUGACUCAUAGUAACUAAUCGGAUCGCAUGGGCCUGUCCCGCGACAAACCAUUCAAGUUUCUGCCCCAUCAGCUUUCGAUGGUAGUGUAUUGGACUACCAUGGCUUUUACGGGUAACGGAGGAUUAGGGUUCGAUUCCGGAGAGGGAGCCUGAGAAACGGCUACCACAUCUAAGGAAGGCAGCAGGCGCGUAAAUUACCCAAUCCCAAUUCAGGGAGGUAGUGACAAGAAAUAAUGGGUCGGAACUAACGUUCCGGGACCGCAAUGAGAUGAAUUUACACCCCUUUUCGAGGAUCAAUU